AUUGAACGCUGGCGGCAUGCCUUACACAUGCAAGUCGAACGACAGCACGGGUGCUUGCACCUGGUGGCGAGUGGCGAACGGGUGAGUAAUACAUCGGAACGUACCUUAUCGUGGGGGAUAACGCAGCGAAAGCUGUGCUAAUACUGCAUACGCCCUGAGGGGGAAAGCGGGGGAUCGCAAGACCUCGCGCGAUUAGAGCGGCCGAUGCCUGGUUAGCUUGUUGGUGGGGUAAAAGCCCACCAAGGCGACGAUCAGUAGCUGGUCUGAGAGGACGAUCAGCCACACUGGGACUGAGACACGGCCCAGACUCCUACGGGAGGCAGCAGUGGGGAAUUUUGGACAAUGGGGGCAACCCUGAUCCAGCAACGCCGCGUGAGUGAAGAAGGCCUUCGGGUUGUAAAGCUCUUUUGUCAGGGAAGAAACACCGGCUCUAACACAGUCUGGGAAUGACGGUACCUGAAGAAUAAGCACCGGCUAACUACGUGCCAGCCGCCGCUGUAA
rnacentral:rRNA from 1 species